AAACUUUACAAUGCUGGCAACAGCGAUAAGGGGACCUCGAGUGCCAGGUUACAAAUCUGGCUGUCGUGAUGCCUAAAAAGCAUUGCAUAGCAAGGGCCGGGCAAAACCGGUGCCAGCCCCCGCGGUAACACCGGCGGCUCGAGUGGUAACCGUUAUUAUUGGGUCUAAAGGGUCUGUACCGGCCGGAUAAUUCUCUUGGGAAAUCUGGCAGCUUAACUGUCAGGCUUUCAGGAAAUACUGUCUGGCUCGAGGCCGGGAAAGGUGAGAGGUACUUCAGGGGUAGGGGUGAAAUCUUGUAAUCCUUGAAGGACCACCAGUGGCGAAGGCGUCUCACCAGAACGGACCUGACGGCAAGGGACAAAAGCUAGGGUCACGAACCGGAUUAUAUACCCGGGUAG
rnacentral:rRNA from 1 species